rnacentral:lncRNA from 1 species
AUGUCGGAACACCAACCGAAUCCUAAACUGACUUCGGAACAGCUUAAUUCGAAAGACGAUAGUAGGCUCGAGGGGGAUCAAAAGAAGGAUUAUCGGUCCCCUAAAAGAAGAAAGCUGGUUAGACUGCAAUGUAUGCCUAUGGAAAGAAAAGUAACGAAAAGCGAUCCAUAUGAUCAUAAUAAAGAAUUUCCUAUACGUCUUUUAAAACAAGAAUGUUGUUGUCUCAAGAUCCCAAGCGCAAAAGCUUUCUCUCUCCCAAUCAACGAUGAUCUCAGUAGUGCGAACUAUAGUAACAAGGCGCUAGCCAACCUAGUGGAGUAA